CCUACGGGCGGCAGCAGUGGGGAAUAUUGGACAAUGGGCGAAAGCCUGAUCCAGCCAUGCCGCGUGUGUGAAGAAGGCCUUCGGGUUGUAAAGCACUUUCAGUGGGGAAGAAAGCCUUGGGGCUAAUACCCUCGAGGAAGGACAUCACCCACAGAAGAAGCACCGGCUAACUCCGUGCCAGCAGCCGCGGUAAUACGGAGGGUGCGAGCGUUAAUCGGAAUUACUGGGCGUAAAGCGCGCGUAGGCGGUCUGAUAAGCCGGUUGUGAAAGCCCCGGGCUCAACCUGGGAACGGCAUCCGGAACUGUCAGGCUAGAGUGCAGGAGAGGAAGGUAGAAUUCCCGGUGUAGCGGUGAAAUGCGUAGAGAUCGGGAGGAAUACCAGUGGCGAAGGCGGCCUUCUGGACUGACACUGACGCUGAGGUGCGAAAGCGUGGGUAGCAAACAGGAUUACAUACCCCAGUAGUC
rnacentral:rRNA from 1 species